CAGAGAGGGGCUCACUGGUUGCUUCCCUGCUGCUUCUCUGAUCAAUCAGGUUUUGUCCUCACAUCUGACUCCUGAGUUUUUAUUACUCAUAGUGUGAUGAUAUAUUAUUUGUGAUUUAAUAAAGAUUACCUGAAGUAUCAGAAUGUAAAACCAGCCACACUAGUUAGCUAUAGAAGUGAGGUGGUGGUGGUACACACCUUUAAUCCCAGAACUCAGAAGAUAAACAGAUGGAUAUCUGUUAGUUCAAGGCCACACUGAGCUACACAAAACUGAUCCUGUCUAAAAGAGAAACAGCUCACACAAAGGUGAUCUCAGCACUUGGGAUCACAUGCCUUUAAUUCCAGAACUAGGGAGGUGGAGAUGGGAGUGAUAUGGCUGUGUGGAGAGAGAUAUUUAAGGAAGACGCAAAGUCAGCCUCAGGGAAUUUGUCUCCAGCCACACCGAGGAAGAGGCAGCAGUCUGGAUUACACUCUGAGGAUUCCUGGAGACAGCAUCACCCCUUUCCGUCUGAGGUAGAGUGUCAUGUACAGACUUGAAAUAUCACAGACCAAGUAAAGAAGGAGAGCUGUCUUAGUGGUUGAUAACAGAGGAGGCCACCACCAGAGAAGCUGUUUGAACAUCAGAAAAGCACAAAGCAGUGAGUUUGGAUCCCCCGAGGACCAGAGGGAUUAAUAUUAGAUCCAAGUGCCCAGAGGCAGCCUUUUCCACCAUACCUCACAUCCCUCCUGGGGAUGUCCGCCUUUGGUGCAAUGGAUUCUUUGUCACAGUUCCUCUAGUGACCACCACAAGCCAUAUUCCCAACGGCAUCUGACUUAAGCAGAUAGGGUCCGGUGACUGCCACACACUUCCUAAGACAUGCAUCCCAUUCUUGCCACCUCUUGGAGAUGUAUAGUGCAUCAAGAAACAGUCUGCUAAUCUCUUCCCUAGAGUCUUCAAGAUGCCCAGGAAGAGCACUGAAGCCUGGACUCUAUCCAAAAGAAAUGAGUGAGUGCUUCUAUCCACCAGUGACGUGCACAAGAAUGUUUAUAGCAGUCGAGGAGAUGGAUAAUGGUACCAAAAGAACAGUCACACAAUGCAACACUGUACAGCAAUAGAAAGGAGUUGUGGCUACAGAAAACAAAGUGCUCAGUGAAAGAAGCUGGGCAAAGGAGGAGUAUGCCCUCAUCUAUAUGAGCUCAGCUUCUUCUAGGGCCCUUUGUGGGUUUCCUGUGAACCAGCAGAAGCCAGGAACUGCUUAGGCUUUGCCAAAGCACUCAAGGAAGAGAAG
rnacentral:lncRNA from 1 species